rnacentral:rRNA from 1 species
CCUACGGGGGACAGCAGUGGGGAAUAUUGGGCAAUGGGCGCAAGCCUGACCCAGCAACGCCGCGUGAAGGAAGAAGGCUUUCGGGUUGUAAACUUCUUUUAUCAGGGACGAAGCAAGUGACGGUACCUGCUGAAUAAGCCACGGCUAACUACGUGCCAGCAGCCGCGGUAAUACGGAGGUGGCAAGCGUUAUCCGGAUUUACUGGGUGUAAAGGGCGUGUAGGCGGGAGUGCAAGUCAGAUGUGAAAACUAUGGGCUCAACCCAUAGCCUGCAUUUGAAACUGUACUUCUUGAGUGCUGGAGAGGCAAUCGGAAUGCCGGGUGUAGCGGUGAAAUGCGUAGAUAUACGGAGGAACACCCGUGGCGAAGGCGGAUUGCUGGACAGUAACUGACGCUGAGGCGCGAAAGCGUGGGGAGCAAACAGGAUUAGAUACCCUUGUAGUC